rnacentral:rRNA from 1 species
GACGAACGCUGGCGGCGUGCCUAAUACAUGCAAGUUGAGCGCUGAAGGUUGGUACUUGUACCAACUGGAUGAGCAGCGAACGGGUGAGUAACGCGUGGGGAAUCUGCCUUUGAGCGGGGGACAACAUUUGGAAACGAAUGCUAAUACCGCAUAAAAACUUUAAACACAAGUUUUAAGUUUGAAAGAUGCAAUUGCAUCACUCAAAGAUGAUCCCGCGUUGUAUUAGCUAGUUGGUGAGGUAAAGGCUCACCAAGGCGAUGAUACAUAGCCGACCUGAGAGGGUGAUCGGCCACAUUGGGACGGAGACACGGCCCAAACUCCUACGGGAGGCAGCAGUAGGGAAUCUUAGGCAAUGGACGAAAGUCUGACCGAGCAACGCCGCGUGAGUGAAGAAGGUUUUCGGAUCGUAAAACUCUGUUGGUAGAGAAGAACGUUGGUGAGAGUGGAAAGCUCAUCAAGUGACGGUAACUACCCAGAAAGGGACGGCUAACUACGUG